UUAAGUUCAGCGGGUAGUCCUACCUGAUUUGAGGUCAAAUUGUCAAUUAAGAUGUUGUCCGAAGACGGUUAUGAGCGGAUUCCCAUAAGUUUUGCUUCGAAGUCAACGUCGGCAUAGAUAAUUAUCACACCGAGUGACGGUCCACAAGAGAUCCCGCUAAUGCAUUUAAGGGGAGCAGACCAUCCACUGAAGGAAGCCAG
rnacentral:misc_RNA from 1 species